AGGCCGCAUCCUGUGUGUCCUCGCCAUGGCCUGGACGGUGCUUCUCUUCCAGCUCCUUGCCUAUGGAUCAGGUGUGGAUUCUCAGACUGUGGUGACUCAGGAGCCAUUGAUGUCUGUGUCUCCAGGAGGGACAGUCACACUCACCUGUGGCCUUAGCUCUGGGCCAGUCUCUACCAGUAACUAUCCUAACUGGUUCCAGCAGACCCCAGGCCAUGCACCCCACAUGGUCAUCUACGACAUAAACAACCGCCCCUCUGGGGUCCCUGAGCGCUUCUCGGGGUCCAUCUCUGGGAACAAGGCCGCCCUCACCAUCACGGGGGCCCAGCCAGAGGACGAGGGUGACUAUUACUGUUCUAUAGAUCACGGCACUGGGGGGAGCAGCUUCGGUUAUGCACAGUGGCUCAAAAUGAUGAGGAAGUGA